ensembl:lncRNA
CACACAUAGUGGUGUAUAUACGUCACUGCUCCUCUCCCAAUUCGGUCCACGCCUUCCUUCCCCUGCUGGGUCCACAGGCUCUAGGUCCAUCCACCUCACACAAACUGACUCCCAUUUGUAUAAUGGAUGUGUUAAUAGACUAUGGAUCAUGGAAGGAGGCACAUUCUAGAAACUAGAUGAUGAUACCAGUGAAACACUUUCUAAAUUCCAGCUACUCAGACAUUCUCAUUUUAGGAUGACAUCUAAGCAGUACAUAGUUUUCCAGUAAACGUAUUCUUGGGAGCCCUGAGAAGAAAAGAACAUGUUUUAUUAUCAAAUAAAUUAACCUGAGGAAAUGAGUGAGAAGGUAUUCAAUGAAAAUGCUGUGUUCGUGUGCAUCUUAGUGGCAUCCUUAAUUACUGGAUAAUGCACUAACCAGCCCACAAGGAGCACCAAGUCAGAUCUGUGAAGCCAGAUUCACUAUUCCAUAGAUAUGUUCCUUAAUUAAUAGAAGACUGGUAGUGUGCAUCUGAAACUGGGUCUCAUAGCUAAAAGUGAAAGUCAGAAAUAACUCUCCUGAGAGAGUUAGAAAUAACUCUAACCCUAACCCUAACCCUUUUUUGGAUGGCGGUAGACCGAGGCUUUUCUGUAUUACCAUUGAUUGACUAUUAUAC